CCUGGCUUAGGAUGGACGCUGGCGGCGUGCUUAACACAUGCAAGUCGAACGAAGCAUCCUCAUCCGUGGAAGGGAGUAGCUUGCUACGAACGGACACACCCGAGGAUGACUUAGUGGCGGACGGGUGAGUAACGCGUGGGUAACCUGCCCCAUAGAGGGGGACAACAGUUGGAAACGACUGCUAAUACCGCAUAGUAAUGUAGAUCCGCAUGCUUCUACAUUGAAAGCUUUUGCGCUAUGGGAUGGACCCGCGUCUGAUUAGCUAGUUGGUGAGGUAACGGCCCACCAAGGCAACGAUCAGUAGCCGGCUUGAGGGAGUGAACGGCCACAUUGGGACUGAGACACGGCCCAAACUCCUACGGGAGGCAGCAGUGGGGAAUAUUGCACAAUGGGGGAAACCCUGAUGCAAGCGACGCCGCGUGAGUGAAGAAGUAUUUCGGUAUGUAAAGCUCUAUCAGCAGGAAAGAUAAUGACGGUACCUGACUAAGAAGCCCCGGCUAACUACGUGCCAGCCGCGGC
rnacentral:rRNA from 1 species